CUAACUUUUUGUAUUUUUAGUAGAGACAGGUUUUCACCAUGUUAGUCAGGCUAGUCUCCAACUCCUGAUCUCGUGAUUCACCUGCCUCAGCCUCCCAAAGUGCAAGGGUUACAGGCAUGAGCCACCAUGCCCAUCCAACUACUUCUUAUGAGUACAUCAGGUUUGAUAUGGUUUUCUACUUUUCCACUGUUGUACAUAAUUUCUAUUCCUGCCCAUUACAGAGUAAAAAAUUAAAAAGGGUACUGGUAACUUUCUAAGCUAGGGAUCCAACAGUUAAAACUCAAAAGACUAGCUUCUUGCUAUUAUUCCAAAGCAACCCCAAACUCCUUGGCUAGAAAUCCUUCAGUCUGGUGUGUAGUUAAUUAGCUAUAACUAAUGAAGCCCUUCAUUUGGUUGCUGGCAGUCAGGAGCAAUAUGAGACGUUCAAGAGUCUAAACAAGGAAAAGGAGGGGUUCCAUUACAACCUAUGUUGUGUCAUUUGCCUGGGAUCUCAAAGGAAAGAAUGAAACCCACAGAAAACAUCAAGACUCGCAAGCCAGGUCAUGUCAUGGGUUACCUGCUCUCCUCCCUGCUUUGCUUCAGGAAGUUACUGCAGACCCCCUCCUGUGCCCUUGGCAUUGAUGGGUGCUCCCAGCAUUGAUUUUGAACUCAUGCUCUGUGCUGAAGACUCUGUGAAGGAUGGAGGAUACAGAAAUGUAAAGAUAACGAUCUCAAAACUGUAGAUUCUCAAUCUAUAUUUAGAACAGCAGAAUAGAAUAGAAAACUCAGAAAUAAAGCUGCACUCCUACAACCAUCUGAUCCUCAACAAGGCUGAGAAAAAAUAAAGAAAAAAGCAAUGGGGAAAGGACUCCUUUUCAAUAAAUGGUUCUGGGAUAACUGGCUUAACAUAUGCAUACAAAUAAAA